rnacentral:tRNA from 1 species
CAGAGGGCAGUUUAAUUAAGAAUACCAGCUUUGGGGGCUGGUGGUGGGAGUUUAAGUCUCCUCUCUCUGA